GACGAACGCUGGCGGCGUGCUUAACACAUGCAAGUCGAACGGAAAGGCCCUGCUUUUGUGGGGUGCUCGAGUGGCGAACGGGUGAGUAACACGUGAGUAACCUGCCCUUGACUUUGGGAUAACUUCAGGAAACUGGGGCUAAUACCGGAUAGGAGCUCCUGCUGCAUGGUGGGGGUUGGAAAGUUUCGGCGGUUGGGGAUGGACUCGCGGCUUAUCAGCUUGUUGGUGGGGUAGUGGCUUACCAAGGCUUUGACGGGUAGCCGGCAUGAGAGGGUGACCGGCCACAUUGGGACUGAGAUGCGGCCCAGACUCCUACGGGAGGCAGAUGUGGGGAAUAUUGCACAAUGGGCGGAAGCCUGAUGCAGCAACGCCGCGUGCGGGAUGACGGCCUUCGGGUUGUAAACCGCUUUCGCCUGUGACGAAGCGUGAGUGACGGUAAUGGGUAAAGAAGCACCGGCUAACUACGUG
rnacentral:rRNA from 1 species